rnacentral:rRNA from 1 species
AACGAACGCUGGCGGCAUGCCUAAUACAUGCAAGUCGAACGAGAUCUUCGGAUCUAGUGGCGCACGGGUGCGUAACGCGUGGGAAUCUGCCCUUGGGUUCGGAAUAACUUCGGGAAACUGAAGCUAAUACCGGAUGAUGACGUAAGUCCAAAGAUUUAUCGCCCAAGGAUGAGCCCGCGUAGGAUUAGCUAGUUGGUAAGGUAAAGGCUUACCAAGGCGACGAUCCUUAGCUGGUCUGAGAGGAUGAUCAGCCACACUGGGACUGAGACACGGCCCAGACUCCUACGGGAGGCAGCAGUAGGGAAUAUUGGACAAUGGGGGCAACCCUGAUCCAGCAAUGCCGCGUGAGUGAUGAAGGCCUUAGGGUUGUAAAGCUCUUUUACCCGGGAUGAUAAUGACAGUACCGGGAGAAUAAGCCCCGGCUAACUCCGUGCCAGCCGCCGCAGUAA